rnacentral:tRNA from 1 species
GGAUGUGGCUCGGUGGUAGAGUUUUUGCCUGGCAUGCGUGAGGCCCUGAGUUCAGUCCCCAGCACCA